GCCGAAUGAACUAGCCCUGAAAAUGGAUGGCGCUAAAGCGUGCGACUUAUACUCAGCCAUCAGCGCGAGACGUAUGUGCUGAUGAGUAGGAGGGCGUGAUGCUCGUAUCGAAGCCUUGGGCGUGAGCCUGGGUGAAACGUGCAUUAGUGCAGAUCUUGGUGGUAGUAGCAACUAUUCAAAUGAGAACUUUGAAGACUGAAGUGGGGAAAGGUUCCACGUGAACAGCAAUUGGACGUGGGUUAGUCGAUCCUAAGAGAUAGGAGAAAUCUGUUGUAAGGUCUGGCUAUCUUCGGAAAGCCGCUUCUAUCGAAAGGGAAUCGGGUUAAUAUUCCCGAACCAGGACGUGGAUAUUGAGUGGUAACACAACCAAAGCCGGGUACGAUGGCGGGAGCCCUGGGGAGAGUUCUCUCUUCUUGUUAACAAGCACACUGACCCUGGAAUCGGAUUGACCGGAGAUAGGGU
rnacentral:rRNA from 13 species